rnacentral:rRNA from 1 species
GGGUUGUGAGGUUAAGCGACUAAGCGUACACGGUGGAUGCCCUGGCAGUCAGAGGCGAUGAAGGGCGUGCUAAUCUGCGAUAAGCGCCGGUAAGGUGAUAUGAACCGUUAUAACCGGCGAUACCCGAAUGGGGAAACCCAGUGUGAUUCGUCACACUAUCAUUAACUGAAUCCAUAGGUUAAUGAGGCGAACCGGGGGAACUGAAACAUCUAAGUACCCCGAGGAAAAGAAAUCAACCGAGAUUCCCCCAGUAGCGGCGAGCGAACGGGGAGGAGCCCAGAGCCUGAAUCAGCAUGUGUGUUAGUGGAAGCGUCUGGAAAGGCGCGCGAUACAGGGUGACAGCCCCGUACACAAAAGCGCAUGUGCUGUGAGCUCGAUGAGUAGGGCGGGACACGUGGUAUCCUGUCUGAAUAUGGGGGGACCAUCCUCCAAGGCUAAAUACUCCUGACUGACCGAUAGUGAACCAGUACCGUGAGGGAAAGGCGAAAAGAACCCCGGCGAGGGGAGUGAAAAAGAACCUGAAACCGUGUACGUACAAGCAGUGGGAGCACAGGUUUACCUGUGUGACUGCGUACCUUUUGUAUAAUGGGUCAGCGACUUAUAUUCUGUAGCAAGGUUAACCGUAUAGGGGAGCCGGAGGGAAACCGAGUCUUAAUUGGGCGUUAAGUUGCAGGGUAUAGACCCGAAACCCGGUGAUCUAGCCAUGGGCAGGUUGAAGGUUGGGUAACACUAACUGGAGGACCGAACCGACUAAUGUUGAAAAAUUAGCGGAUGACCUGUGGCUGGGGGUGAAAGGCCAAUCAAACCGGGAGAUAGCUGGUUCUCCCCGAAAGCUAUUUAGGUAGCGCCUCGUGAAUUCAUCUCCGGGGGUAGAGCACUGUUUCGGCUAGGGGGCCAUCCCGGCUUACCAACCCGAUGCAAACUGCGAAUACCGGAGAAUGUUAUCACGGGAGACACACGGCGGGUGCUAACGUCCGUCGUGAAGAGGGAAACAACCCAGACCGCCAGCUAAGGUCCCAAAGUCAUGGUUAAGUGGGAAACGAUGUGGGAAGGCCCAGACAGCCGUGAUGUUGGCUUAGAAGCAGCCAUCAUUUAAAGAAAGCGUAAUAGCUCACUGGUCGAGUCGGCCUGCGCGGAAGAUGUAACGGGGCUAAACCAUGCACCGAAGCUGCGGCAGCGAACGUAUCACCCAAGACAACUUUACGGAGUUGACGAUUGACGGAGCGAAGCGACGUCAAAGCGUUCAUUAAAGUCGAGUUGGCUUAGGGAUACGUUCGUUGGGUAGGGGAGCGUUCUGUAAGCCUGUGAAGGUGUGUCGUGAGGCAUGCUGGAGGUAUCAGAAGUGCGAAUGCUGACAUAAGUAACGAUAAAGCGGGUGAAAAGCCCGCUCGCCGGAAGACCAAGGGUUCCUGUCCAACGUUAAUCGGGGCAGGGUGAGUCGACCCCUAAGGCGAGGCCGAAAGGCGUAGUCGAUGGGAAACGGGUUAAUAUUCCCGUACUUGGUGUUACUGCGAAGGGGGGACGGAGAAGGCUAUGUUGGCCGGGCGACGGUUGUCCCGGUUUAAGCGUGUAGGUGUGUUCCGUAAAUCCGGUUCACUUUAACACUGAGGCGUGACGACGAGGCACUACGGUGCUGAAGCAACAAAUGCCCUGCUUCCAGGAAAAGCCUCUAAGCAUCAGGUAACACGAAAUCGUACCCCAAACCGACACAGGUGGUCAGGUAGAGAAUACCAAGGCGCUUGAGAGAACUCGGGUGAAGGAACUAGGCAAAAUGGUGCCGUAACUUCGGGAGAAGGCACGCUGACACGUAGGUGAAGUGAUUUACUCAUGGAGCUGAAGUCAGUCGAAGAUACCAGCUGGCUGCAACUGUUUAUUAAAAACACAGCACUGUGCAAACACGAAAGUGGACGUAUACGGUGUGACGCCUGCCCGGUGCCGGAAGGUUAAUUGAUGGGGUCAGCGCAAGCGAAGCUCCUGAUCGAAGCCCCGGUAAACGGCGGCCGUAACUAUAACGGUCCUAAGGUAGCGAAAUUCCUUGUCGGGUAAGUUCCGACCUGCACGAAUGGCGUAAUGAUGGCCAGGCUGUCUCCACCCGAGACUCAGUGAAAUUGAACUCGCUGUGAAGAUGCAGUGUACCCGCGGCAAGACGGAAAGACCCCGUGAACCUUUACUAUAGCUUGACACUGAACAUUGAGCCUUGAUGUGUAGGAUAGGUGGGAGGCUUUGAAGUGUGGACGCCAGUCUGCAUGGAGCCGACCUUGAAAUACCACCCUUUAAUGUUUGAUGUUCUAACGUGGACCCGUAAUCCGGGUUGCGGACAGUGUCUGGUGGGUAGUUUGACUGGGGCGGUCUCCUCCUAAAGAGUAACGGAGGAGCACGAAGGUUGGCUAAUCCUGGUCGGACAUCAGGAGGUUAGUGCAAUGGCAUAAGCCAGCUUGACUGCGAGCGUGACGGCGCGAGCAGGUGCGAAAGCAGGUCAUAGUGAUCCGGUGGUUCUGAAUGGAAGGGCCAUCGCUCAACGGAUAAAAGGUACUCCGGGGAUAACAGGCUGAUACCGCCCAAGAGUUCAUAUCGACGGCGGUGUUUGGCACCUCGAUGUCGGCUCAUCACAUCCUGGGGCUGAAGUAGGUCCCAAGGGUAUGGCUGUUCGCCAUUUAAAGUGGUACGCGAGCUGGGUUUAGAACGUCGUGAGACAGUUCGGUCCCUAUCUGCCGUGGGCGCUGGAGAACUGAGGGGGGCUGCUCCUAGUACGAGAGGACCGGAGUGGACGCAUCACUGGUGUUCGGGUUGUCAUGCCAAUGGCACUGCCCGGUAGCUAAAUGCGGAAGAGAUAAGUGCUGAAAGCAUCUAAGCACGAAACUUGCCCCGAGAUGAGUUCUCCCUGAGACUUUAGGUCUCCUGAAGGAACGUUGAAGACGACGACGUUGAUAGGCCGGGUGUGUAAGCGCAGCGAUGCGUUGAGCUAACCGGUACUAAUGAACCGUGAGGCUUAACCUUACAACGCCGAAG